AAAGAGGACUCACGUUUUUGUUCUGUUUCUGAGUGCCUACUAUAAGCCAGCACUGUUACAAACAUGGCGCUCAUUAUUCUCAUUUAUAGAUGUGAAAAACUAGGCCCAGAGAGGUUAAGAAACACAGCGAGUUCACACAGCUGAGCCAGCGUUGAAACCAUGGUUACCUCCCUCGGAAAAUUGACGCUUUCUUUUUCACAAAUCCACAACAGGUGGAGGUGGGGACGGCAGGAAAUGAGGGAUAAAUGGGGCGCCAAUACUCAGAUCUUGCCUGUCAGCUGGCAGGAGGAGUUUCGGAAACCCUUUCGGGGCUGCCCUAAACGAGUUGUUAUCUCUCCACUCUCUGCCUUCUUCGGGCACAAUUCAGGUUACGUGAUGGAAGAUACAGAUGGAGUUUUGCUUUUUAAAGUCCCAGGGAGAGCUGCGAUCACAGAGGGUUUCUCUGGUUCAGAUCCUGGGCGCGGACAUGGCACCACUCAUCAGGCCAUGCUGAGAUGGCAUCCUGCAUGCAAUGACUGGAAGGACCCACAACUAAGGAAGACUAGCACUGAGCUAACAUCUGUACCCAUCUUCCUCCAUCCUGGAUGUGGGUGGCUGCCAUGGCACAGCUGACAAGUGGUGUAGGUCUGCACACAAGAUGCAAACCCAUAACCUGGGUCGCUGAAGUGGAUUGUGCCAAUCCCGACGACUAUGCCAUGGGGCCAGACCCCUGGAUAGUAAUUUUUAAGGUUUACUGCUUUUGUUGUGAUUUUCCUGAGUAUUCAACUCAUUUCCAUAGAAGUAAAAUCUUUUUUGCACUCAUAUUUCAUUGGUUUAGAUAAUAUUUAAGAAAAUUACACAGCUGCAAUAAUUGGCAAACCAGGUUGUGAACAGAUGUGGCUGACAUCUGGUGAAAACAAUAGUGUGUGGGCAGGCCAUCUGUGGAUUUGGUGGCACUGUGGGCUCAGCAUGGGGUGUUAGCAGAUGAAGUGGAGAACAUCACUUAGUCCAAGAAGUGGUUUUCAUACCUUCUACCCUGAGUGGUGGCUAGCCCGUGAGAUACCUUUCUCUGGGUGGUGUAGCACCCUACUGUGCACAAGGCAAGAUGAAUGGGUUCCAGGCAGAAUUUCAGCUUCUACUCCCUCCCUCAGCCAAAAAUCCUUAUGUGGAAUACAACCUGAACAUCCUAUAUGGUGGCCCAGUCUGUUGUAUCUGUAACAUUCAGAUAUUGUACCCAGAUGGAAACGAGUUGACUGAGUAUCCCAAAUCACCAAGUUGCCAACUGCAGCCUGGACCUAAGCCUUCAACACCUAAUUCAGAGUGGACUGGACCACCUAGUCCAGGGGUCUGGACGAGACAUCUUGUCUUGUCUUGGUCACCAGAUAAGAUCCUCUCCAGGCUCGUCCCAGUGUUUAAUAUACCUCCUGUCCAUAAAGCCCGUUUCCUUCUCAGAUCUCCUCUUGGUGCAGUAGUUCUCAAUCCUGGCUGCACAUUUGGGUUGAAAUUUUAAAAAUUCCCAUGCCAGGGUUCCAUGCCCAAACAACUCAACCAGAAUUUCCAUGGAUGGGACCCAGGCUUCAUCCAGGUUAUUGUGAUUGGCAGCCAAGUUUGAGGCCCACUGAACUAGAAGGGUCUGAAUGCACAAUGAACCUCCUGGUUAUGUCUUCUUGUGAAUAGCAUUUAAUUCUUCCAUUUAUGUAUAUCUGCUCAUGCCAACAAAACAACUCAGAAAUUGGAGCCAAGAGUUUACUUUCCCUGCACAUGAGGGAUUCUUAAUUUCUAUUUGUAGCAUGGCAUUUAAUGAGAUUUGAGGAAAAGCUAUUUUCCCAAGAGGAGCUCUGGACAGAGACGUUGGCAUAGCCAAGAGAUGGCAUGGGUGAAUCUGGGAAGUGGAG
ensembl:lncRNA